UCCCUUAGUAGCGGCGAGCGAAACGGGAAGAGUCCAGCGCCGAAUCCUCGUCGCCUCGAUAGCGGCGGGGAAAUGUGGCGUAUGGGAGGCCGCGUGCCGUCGGCGACGUCCCCGGAGCAAGUCCCCUUGAUCGGGGCGAGCGCAAGCGACCGGAGCGGGUGCGAGUCCCGUAGCCCGGGGGAACUGUCCGGCGGAGUGCGGUCUCUCGCGAGUCGGGUUGCUUGAGAGUGCAGCCCUAAGAAAGGUGGUAAACUCCAUCUAAGGCUAAAUACUGCCUCGAGACCGAUAGCGAACAAGUACCGUGAGGGAAAGUUGCAAAGAACUUUGAAGAGAGAGUUCAAGAGUACGUGAAACUGCUCAGAGGAAAACGGGUGGGCGUUCGAAGCCCCCGUCGGCAGUCUUUUCGGAUUCAGUUCGGCCUUUUUUGCCGUCGUCGGUAUUUCGGCGGUUGCCCUCCCGUUUCGGGACGCGGCAGCUUCCGGCAUGCCGAAAGGCGGUAAAGGACGGACGCAUUUCCGGAGUUGCCGGUGAAGGGCGCCGCGACCGAUCGGGCACCAAAGAGUGCGGAUCGCUGGCCGGACUCACAGUGCGGCGUGGAGACUGCUCGUUUCGUGCGUUCUGCGCGCGGGCGUCUGUCGCUCCCCCGACUGCCGGCAAAUCAAACAGCUUUCUGUCGUCCGAUCGGCGUUCACGUGACGAAGGCAGAGGCGCUCUCUCCUCGGGCCUGUGGCGUCGUUCCACGCCCGGUUCUCUGCCGGUCGCGCCUCGUGCGCGGCUUCGGUGGGUUCCGGGCGGACGGCGUCCGGUCUUUACUUACCAGAGGAGGGCAGAGGUGCUGCCGUCGCGGCGAGUGUCUCGGUGUCCCACCCGACCCNNNNNNNNNNNNNGACCAAGGAGUCUAACCCGUACGCGAGUCGCAGGGUCUUGCACAGGCCCCGUGGCGGAGCGAAAGCGAAGCCGUGACGCCCGCUCUGCGAAGAGCAGGGCAGCAUCGGCGGCCCGGCGGAGCGGACGGUAGGUCUCCGGGGAAGGUUCUGCCCGAACCGGUCUCCUCCGUCCAGCGUCGGAGUCGGAGCGCACGAGUUGGUACCCGAAAGAUGGUGAACUAUGCCUGGCCAGGGCGAAGCCGGAGGAAACUCCGGUGGAGGCCCGAAGCGGUUCUGACGUGCAAAUCGAUCGUCGGAGCGGAGUAUAGGGGCGAAAGACUAAUCGAACCAUCUAGUAGCUGGUUCCCUCCGAAGUUUCCCUCAGGAUAGCUGGCAUUCGGAGAAACUCAGUCUCUCCUCGUAGAGAGAAUGAAUAGAGGCCCUGGGGCCCUAGACGACCUCAACCUAUUAUCAAACUACUACGAGGUGCGUCGCGGGUUACCUGCCGAUAACGAGAGGAACCCGGAAGUCGAUGUAGAGUGCCGUGUGGGCCAUUUUUG
rnacentral:rRNA from 1 species